GAUGAACGCUGGCGGCGUGCCUAAUACAUGCAAGUCGAGCGAACAGACGAGGAGCUUGCUCCUCUGACGUUAGCGGCGGACGGGUGAGUAACACGUGGAUAACCUACCUAUAAGACUGGGAUAACUUCGGGAAACCGGAGCUAAUACCGGAUAAUAUAUUGAACCGCAUGGUUCAAUAGUGAAAGACGGUUUUGCUGUCACUUAUAGAUGGAUCCGCGCCGCAUUAGCUAGUUGGUAAGGUAACGGCUUACCAAGGCAACGAUGCGUAGCCGACCUGAGAGGGUGAUCGGCCACACUGGAACUGAGACACGGUCCAGACUACUACGGGAGGCAGCAGUAGGGAAUCUUCCGCAAUGGGCGAAAGCCUUACGGAGCAACGCCGCGUGAGUGAUGAAGGUCUUCGGAUCGUAAAACUCUGUUAUUAGGGAAGAACAAAUGUGUAAGUAACUAUGCACGUCUUGACGGUACCUAAUCAGAAAGCCACGGCUAACUACGUG
rnacentral:rRNA from 1 species